rnacentral:lncRNA from 1 species
UUUUUUUUUUUUUUUAACGAAUGAAAAUCUAACAAAGGUGCAAUACCUAAAUCUCUAAAGACUCUUUCCACCAGAUUCCAUUUUAAAGGAUACAGGGCCAUCAGUUCUAUUGACAGAAAGCAUGUAAUAGAUUAUGAGUCCUGCUGAUCAAGGUUGAUGAUCAGAGGCAAAAAAAAGUAGUCAUGUGCUCUUGCACAGCAAGAGCAGGAGCAGAAUUGGUCAACAGAGAACAUAGAUUAUGUAUCUACAAAUCUUUUCCUCUGGACACAACCCUUAUUAACUUAGAGGAUUCCCUGAUUCUCUUGGGCUUUUGCCAUAUGCCAAAGUUGCACUAUAUCUCUAAAAUUUCAAAUUUAACAUCCACUUCAGUUAGUUUCAGUCUGUGUGUGAUCUUUUCUCUUAAGUCAUUAAAAUUUCUCAGACCAGCCUGCUCUAUCAACCACAUGUCAUAUAUUUUCUUACCAGGGGCAGUGAUGCAGAUUUUUUUUAUUUAAAGAUUUUAUUUUAUUUAUUCAUGAGACACACACACACGCACACACACACACACACACACACACACAGGCAAGACACAGGCAGAGGGAGAAGCAGGCUCCAUGCAGGGAGCCUGAUGUGGGACUUGAUCCUGGGACUCCAGGAUCACAACCUGAACCGAAGUCAGACGCUUAACUGCUGAGCCACCCAGGCGUCCCAAUGAUGCAGAUUUUUAAGGAACAAAUUAUUGUUUUUUUAAGUUUGGUAUUUUUUUGUUAGGUAUUCUACUCUUCAGGGUUAUGGUUCAUGUCUCCAUUUUGCAAAAUUAUUAUUCCUCUUUCAAAACCAUUUCUUUUCUCUACAGUUAGUUUUCUGGGAGAGUAGAUAUUUUUUAUUGUUGUUAAUUAGUUUGUUUUUUCAUUUCUUAAUACAGUUUAGUCAUUAAAAUUCUGAUGAAGCUUUUGAACCUCACUUUCAAUCUCUGCAUAUUCUGACUCCAAGGAUUCAUUCUCAUUUUGCAAUUUUGAAAUGUCAUAAUUUCUUUUAUCUUCUCCAGUAAACACACACACACACACACACACACACACACAGACACAGACACAGACACAGAAAAAGCCUGCUUCUUCCUCAGUCUGUCUGUGUGAGGGACUGAACCAAUCUAAUCUGUAAUUGAAGUGAGUGUCUGGAUUUUAUGGGUUAUUGAAGCAUUCUUUUUACUACCCAAGCUUUCCAUGCCACUGAAUAUCUUUCUCCCACUCUGCCGCCUUGCCCCCAAGUAGUUGUAACAAUGCAACAGAUGAAAGGCUUGUAGGCCAUGGGGUAGGCUAUUUUAGCUCUUCUCUCCUAUACCAAUCUUUGUCAAGUCAUGGCCUUGCACUUAGUAGAGCUCCUCUUUGAAUGCUACAGAAAUGCCUUUUGAUGGAGACUCCUUGGAAUUCUAACCAUCACCCUAACCCACAAGACCAUUAAUAGCUUGUUAAAAAUUAUGCUGAUUUCUCUUUGUUCCUGUCUAAAGCAGAUUGCCUCCUUCCUCUGCAGUGCCCUUAGGGGUAAAAACAGUCAUGAGAUUUCUUUCUUUCUUUUUUUUUUUUUUUUUAAAUUCUGGGAAGCGUUCAUCUUUUUCUGGAAUUUGGCUACUUAAUUUUGUGUCUUUAGUUCUCUGAGGAGUUAAAAACAUGAUUUUGUUACUUAUCUGGCUUAUUCUCAAGUAUUCUUUUAAUGAACAUGUCCCCAUGAAACUCUUCUCUGUCUCUCGAUUAGGACAACUCUAGCUACAAAGAUAUUGAUUCAAAUCAAACUUGAGAUAAUACAGAUUUACUUCUCAAAUAAUGAAUCCACCAGUGAUGCUGUUCCUUCCACAGUGAUUGGAUCAAUAAUAGGAUUCCAAACUAGAAAAUCAUUAAAGUAUAUCCAUGAGUUUUAGAUUUUACUUCUAUUUCAGAAACUUGUUACCUGCAGUAUCAAAGCCUCCAAUACUAACAUUCCACAUAUAACGUGGCACUAAGCGAGGUAUGAACAGUGUAGAACAUGGGAAGUUGAGUAAACAAAUAAAUCUAUACAAUAUUCUCAUUCUCAGUUAAUGUCUAUUCUAUCUUUCCACUCCUCCAGGCCAGUCAGAAUCAUUCUUAGCUCUACCUUACAACCUAUAUCUAAUUCACCAGGAAAUCUUGUAAGCCCCACCCUUAAUAUAACUAUGAUAUAACUAUGGCUCACUAAAACUACUAUUAUCACUUUGGUGCAAGUUACCAUGAUUUCUUACAGAGAUUUACUAAUAAUAUGGUUUUAACUCAUCUCCAUUCUUUCACUCCUGCAACCUUGACUCUGC